rnacentral:tRNA from 4 species
GGGCGGUUAGCUCAGCGGUAGAGCACUACCUUGACAUGGUAGAGGUCACAGGUUCGAACCCUGUACCGCCCACCA